ensembl:lncRNA
AGGCAGACUGUUUGCACCUCUUCUCUCCAUGUGACCAGAAGGGGUGAGCCCAGGGUGAAGCCACGCUUGGUUUGUAUAAAGGUCAGCCUCUGAGGGGAGAGUAUCUCUUGGACCUAGGUUGCUUGUUGAGAAGCAAUGUUGUAAUGUUAAAGAGACCCUUCACCAGUUGGGUGAAAGGGAAUUCCAGAUAGGAAGACAGAUGAUGUUUUGGAGCUGAUUUGGCACAGAUCCUGAUGCAGUGGUCUGGAGGACACGGACUCCCUCAGGUCAUUUUCAAGGUUAUCACCAAAACCUCGUGACAGGAGUCUUUUUGAUAUACUAAUGGCCACAUGAUAAAGAAGAACAUGGAUGGAGUCAGGGAAACCUGCAUACGCAGUCACACCUGAGACCCUUUUUUUUUUUUUUUUUUUUUUGCAAGUGGAUAUAUUAUUGUAUCAGCUGAUGUAAUGGGAAUAUUGUGAUUUGCUUUUGCUGUGCUUUAACCUAUGAAGCCAGUGAGAAAAGUGAAGGCAGAGAGUCUGCUUGAGCACAUACCAAAAGGAGCUGAAAUCUCAGUGUUGUAUGCCAAGGUGAUUCCAACAAAUCAUGUCCAGUUGGCAUGCAUAUUUUGUCAAGGCCAUGUGGUGUCCAGUAAGCACAGCAAAACACUGAAAUUGUUCCACAUUCUCUCAGGGAAAAUCCCAGUUAAUUCUUCUGGGGAGCAACUUUGAGCAGUGUGGGAGAAUUUACACUGUGCAUGUUCAAGCAGGGAAGAAAACCAGGUCUGGACACCUUAAAAAGGUUGUAUGUGCAAAAUGUGCAUGUUUGCUACAAGAAGGUUAUUGCCAUGAUAUGAUCACUUUGUGUCUCAAAAUGACUUGAGUUUCUCCUUGCAACUUCAGUUUUUCCCCCAGUCAAGCCUGAGUUCAAAGAUCACCCAAUUAGUAAAAGGAAAUCAGAGAAGAUUUUCAUCUGAAACCCUUACCUGACUGAGACACUUUCAUAUAAGACAAAUUUUCAGAAGCCUUUAUUCCACAAGGGAAGGUCUUUGGGCUCACUACCAGGAAAGAACCAUUCAAGGUGAAUGCAACUAGAUAGUUUCCAGCGUCACCGUAUGGACAACAAUUCAAAGCUGAGCCAAGCUGUCUGUGAAAAGACAAGGCUCCCAGAGCAAUAAUAUCUUUGUUCUUUUCCAACACGUUACCCUUGUGGCUGCAAAAAGCAUGAUUCUAGCUUUCUUUCUGGUGAAUGUUCUACUAAGACACUUCUCUCCCCAAAUGUUUUUCUGCCAGCUCUGAUAAAUUAACACUGAGGUGGUUGGGUUGCUGCUUUUGGUGUGGAAAGUACAAUAUUGCCAUAAGAGUCAGCAAAUCUUAGCUUUAUCACAUCACCAUUCAAAGAGUGAAUCUGUAACAGUGCACAGUAUGUAUUUUGCAAUUCACUUUGCCACUAAUUUAUUUCCUUUUCUCUUUCAUUUGGAGAAGGGAUUCUUCACAUAAUCUCCAUCUUGACCUGUCUGGGAGCUGUAUCUCUCUGAAGUCCUCUGCAAUUCUCUUUUGAUGAAGCAAAUGGGAGGUCACAUAAUUAUUGCAU